rnacentral:rRNA from 1 species
UACGUAGGGGGCUAGCGUUGUCCGGAAUCAUUGGGCGUAAAGCGCGUGUAGGCGGUCCGGUAAGUCCGCUGUGAAAGUCGGGGGCUCAACCCUCGAAUGCCGGUGGAUACUGUCGGGCUAGAGUGCGGAAGAGGCGAGUGGAAUUCCUGGUGUAGCGGUGAAAUGCGCAGAUAUCGGGAGGAACACCAGUAGCGAAGGCGGCUCGCUGGGCCGUUCCUGACGCUGAGACGCGAAAGCUAGGGGAGCAAACAGG